AGAAUUAUAACAUAAAAGAAUCAUCAGAGUAAAGGUAGUAUAUGUAAAUGUAUGUGGUAAACAAACCAUUUUAGGUUACAAGUUACAUUAAAAAAUAAAAAUUAAAGAUUUAAAUGACUAAGUACAAUGUUUAUUCUUUAACAGAAGUGAACUCAUUGAAUGGCUUAUUAAGAGAAACUUGCAAGUGUAUUAUUUUAUCACAGAGCAUAGAGUAUUAUAAUAUUGUUGUAUUAUUUUGUGUGCUAUUACUUGGACAAACAUCUUCAACCCCCAUUUUAUCUGAACAAAUAAACAACUCAACACAACAGCUUCUGUUAUGGGGUCACAUACGAUGUCUACGGUUGAAUGACGAGGUCAAUUCUGGUUGUAUCCAUAGAAAGGUACAUUUUGAAAUCCCUGGUGAUGAAGAUAAUGUAUUUCUCUGUACACAGCUUCUGUUAUGGUUUCACAUAUGAUGUCUUCGAUCCCUGGUUGUAUCCAUGUCAAAGUACAUUUUGUUGAUUUAAAGUUUA